AAACGUAGGAGGCGAGCGUUAUCCGGAUUUACUGGGCGUAAAGCGUGUGUAGGCGGUUUGAUAAGUUGGAUGUGAAAGCUCCCGGCUCAACUGGGAGAGGUCGUUCAAAACUAUCAGACUCGAGAGUGGUAGAGGGAGGUGGAAUUCCGCGUGUAGUGGUGAAAUGCGUAGAUAUGCGGAGGAACACCAGUGGCGAAAGCGGCCUCCUGGCCCAUUUCUGACGCUCAGACAACGAAAGCUAAGGUAGC
rnacentral:rRNA from 1 species